GAGUAACACGUGGGCAACCUGCCCUCAGCUCUGGGAUAACUCCAAGAAAUUGGUGCUAAUACCGGAUGUGACCGCUGACCGCAUGGUCUGGUGGUGGAAAGAUUCAUCGGCUGAGGAUGGGCCCGCGGCCUAUCAGCUUGUUGGUGGGGUAAUGGCCCACCAAGGCGACGACGGGUAGCCGGCCUGAGAGGGUGACCGGCCACACUGGGACUGAGACACGGCCCAGACUCCUACGGGAGGCAGCAGUGGGGAAUAUUGCGCAAUGGGCGAAAGCCUGACGCAGCGACGCCGCGUGAGGGAUGACGGCCUUCGGGUUGUAAACCUCUUUCAGUAGGGACGAAGCGAAAGUGACGGUACCUACAGAAGAAGCACCGGCCAACUACGUGCCAGCAGCCGCGGUAAUACGUAGGGUGCAAGCGUUGUCCGGAAUUAUUGGGCGUAAAGAGCUCGUAGGCGGUCUGUCGCGUCGGCUGUGAAAACCCGAGGCUCAACCUCGGGCCUGCAGUCGAUACGGGCAAACUAGAGUACUGCAGGGGAGACUGGAAUUCCUGGUGUAGCGGUGAAAUGCGCAGAUAUCAGGAGGAACACCGGUGGCGAAGGCGGGUCUCUGGGCAGUAACUGACGCUGAGGAGCGAAAGCGUGGGGAGCGAACAGGAUUAGAUACCCUGGUAGUCCACGCCGUAAACGUUGGGCGCUAGGUGUGGGGGCCAUUCCACGGUCUCCGUGCCGCAGCUAACGCAUUAAGCGCCC
rnacentral:rRNA from 1 species